GAUGCUGGAGAUAUUCCUGCCCAUGAUGUAACAGAGAUGUCAGGGGACAGAAUCUGUGUCAGCAGUUACAUUCCCUCCAAAAACUUGGGAGGUAUUCUGCAUUAAGUGACCUGUAAAAACAUUACACAUGCAGAUGAAAUGCUUGAACAAAUUUGUUUUAUCAAGCUGUUGCUUGUCUUGGAGCCUGUGAUGUUUUUGAUGUGUGUAAACCUGGAACAAAUAUGUAAGAAGCCAUGGGCUCUGUUGUGGAGUACUCUAAGAGAGAACAAUGAAAGUGGCCAAAAGAAGAAAGCUGCAAGGUAUUGCAGUGCAGCCAGGCAAAUAAAUGGGGAACUCCUUAGCUCUAGGCACAGAGACCAGAACCACAGCACAGUGGUUCUAUUCAACGAAGUAUUUAUUGACCAACAAGUUGUUUGUUGAGGGGAAAAUCAGGAAUUCUGUCAGUUCAAAUCCUU
rnacentral:lncRNA from 12 species